CAAAAGAAAUGAAAAGGAUUACUGGAUAGACAGUAAUCUCAGAGAUUCACAGGGAAGAGUGUUUAUUGUCUUAAUUUAAUGUACUUCCGUCUACCUGUAACUCUAUCUCCCAAUGCUGUCACCUUGAAGGUGUCUGAGAAGAUUUCCAUUUAUGACUUUGGGGACACAGACAUGCAGACUACAGCAUCUAAUUGUGAGAAGAGCCAUCUUUGAGCCCAGCAGUGGCCCCUCUGCAAACAUCAACUCUACUGGUGCCUUUUCUUCAUUUUCCCACCUUCUACAAACUCCAUCCAGCGAGAAGAAUCUCAAUGCGCAGACUCAAAGGAAGUGAGGAAGUUUAUCCCGUCGACAUCACCGAGGGAAGUGUUUCCAACGGACGUAACUAGAAACGGAAUCUCAGUGUUUUCCUCCUCUCUGAAUUCACACCACGAUCAUAGACUACACUAGCCAGUGCUACUUGACUAGUGUUUUGCUCCAUCAUUAUUUAUCUUCGUAAUGUAUGUCGUUACUUUCUGCAUAUAAGUAGAUAUCUGAAGAUGAGAACUUCUGACAUUUCUCAGAUAUAAUGCUUUUAUAUGGGCACUGUUCUGAUAUCCUCUGUAAUAGUAAGUUAUGACGGAUUAGCAACUAGCUAAUUCGUGAAGAAAAAUUUGCUUUGACAAAUAAAAUAUUUAAAAAGCCCCAAUGUUUCACUUACAUUAGGAAGGCUAGGCAUGUUUUGUGUAGUGACUGAUUACAAUGCUGUAAAUGAUUAUGCUAUUUAUAAAAUAUUUAUCUUAUUCUUUAAAAAUAUACAAUCUCAUUUGAUCUUCACAUGCUGCUUUUGUACAAGAGAAAAAAUUUAGUCAUUCAAUUUUGGCUGUAUUUGCAGACUUGCACAAGGACAAAUAACAGGUUAGUAGCAAAACUACCUCAUUCAUACCACUCAUGAUUUUUUUGUUCCACUCUUCUAUACCCCUUCUUUUAGCGCAGAUUUUGGAAUAAAUUGAUA